ACUGUCUUCCAAAGAAGCUGUGCCUUUGCGUUCCCACCAGCCGUGUAUGAGAGCUUCUAUUGCUCCACAUCUUCACUGGGAUUUUGGCAUUCUGGACGUUGGGAAUCCUAAUAGAGAGAGAGCACAAG
rnacentral:lncRNA from 1 species